GGAGGAGAUGGAGGAGGAAAAGAAGGAUAAUUAUUUAUUAUGAAGAACCAUGCUACUUUAGUGAGCCCAAGGACAGCCAUAGGUCUGAAUCUUAGAAGCAACUGUAAUUAGAAAAUUUAAAUGCUGAGAGGCAUUUCUCUUUUCUCUAAUAUCUGUUCUCAGUCUUUGUCUCUCUCUCUCUGUGUGUGUCUCAUUCUUUCCUUGCUUACAUCAUCCACUUUUCCAAUUUACAUGGCAGGAAAUAUAGCCACCAGCUGCUUUACAGCAUGCAAUUUGCACACUCAAACAAAGACUGUCUCACUCUCCUAGUUCCAACUCAAAAGUUUCCAGGGAAGUCCUCUGAUUGCCUCAGCUUGGAUCAGAGCCCCACCUCUGAAACAACUUAUGAAGGCUAUAAAAACAGGUUAGGGCUCUACAGCAAUAUGAAAAUUCCUGGGAAAAAUGUGACAAUGCCAGGGGAGGUGACCAUUCAUUCCAAGAAAAAGGGAGGGGAAGAUCCCUCAUGAAUGGCUUGAUGCUGUCCUCAAGAAGCAGAACACGUAUUCUUUUCUCUGAUGACAUUCGAGGCCCGGCGGCACAUGCUUCAGUUUGCAGCUCCCCAGCUCUCAGGAAACCCGUGGAAACUGCAAUGUCUCACCUGCACCCUGCCACCGGGAGUGGCCUGCAGAUCCUCUCCCAGAUUCCCAGCACUUAAGAGAGUCUCCAAACGACCCAUCACGGCAACGAGAUGCAUUACGAUGCCACAUUUGGUCAACUUCCCACGUCCCCACCCUGUGCCCCCUUCUCUACCCUCCCUCAGGCCAAAUAGAAACCCUAGUGUCCACCAUCUGUGAUCACAUCAUAGGCAAAUGCAGGGAGACUGUUGGAAUGAGAGAAACAGGAAUAUGGAGAAGAAGUGCUUCUUUCUUUAUAUAUUUGUUUCUUCUAGAGACAGGGUCUUUUUCUAUCACUUAGGCUGGCGUGUAGGGGCGCCAUCAUAGCGCACCACGGCCUUGACCUCUUUGGCUCAAGUGAUCCUCCCGCCUCAGCUUCCUGAGUCACGGGGACCACAGAUAUAUGCCACCUUGCCCAGCUAGUUUUCACAAAAUUUUUGAAGAGAUGGGGUCUCGCCAUGUAGCCCAGGCUGAUCCUGAACUCCUGGGCUCAAGCUCAAGCAAUCCUCUAGCCUUGGCCUCCCAAAGGGUUGGGAUUACCGGUGUGAGCCACCUCGCUCAGCAGGAAGCGACAAUUUAAAUGAAUGGUGUUUUCUGACUCCUGCUGUGCUAGAUGAACACGCUCUCUUCCCUUAGAUGUGGUGGGCUGAGAGCUAGGAGUCAUUACCCUUAUGAGCCUUCACUCCUUCCCUAGUGUACGCAUGUUACCACUCAGCCUAGAGUUUGAAGAUGAACAUGAUUUGUUGAGCAUGACUUCAAAACUGAAGCCAAUUCUUCAUCUGCUGCUUAGAUGAAGAAACACAAUCUUGCUUCAGUAAUGAAAACAAUAUCUGUUGGAUACAGUAAGAAAUGAUAUGUCAGUCCUCUAAGGUAUUUCCAAGAGUAUAUUGACUAUUGUGGCCUUCCCCUCCUCUGCUGGUUCAUGCAACACAUGGUCUGGGAAUAUCCCACCUCCUUCAUGCCAAGGUAGUUUGCACAUCCCUCUCACCUACCAGGAGCAUCCUCCCAGGGUUUCUUACUCAGGUUAAAACCUGCAUAAAGCAUAAAGUUCUCCAUGACUCUGCAUAAAGCAGGAAAAUGCUCCUUCCUUUUUUCCCCUGAAAGUCCUUAGUACACGUUUCUAUUCGAAUUUUCAUCUCCUUGUUUUGUAACUGGUUACUGGCCUAUCUUUCCACUGGACUGUGAGCUCCUUGAGGGCAAAUGUUAGUUCAUCUUCUUAUCCUCUGUGUACCUUGCCUUUCUUUGUCACCCACCAUCAUUCUGCUAGGGUUCCAGCUCAAGAUCACACCACCACCUGGAAUAAUGUUCUCAGCAAAGCUGCAGAGCUGUGGUCCUUUACUAAAUGUGACCCCUACUUCUGCUUUGUGACCUGAGAUAGGCAUGGUUGCACCAACAAGCCACCAGGCACUUUGCUCCAUCUUGCCCCAGGAAAGAGCUCCGUCAUGAUGUCGAGCUAUCUUAGCCUCACAGAGAGGCCUGAGUGGCCAAUCACUCAUCCUUUUGAGGUUUGCUUCUUUACAACAGCUCCAUCAGUGGCAUCAGAGAGCUCCACUCAGCUAGUGAGGUGGAGCUUGACUGGAACUUUGCAAUAUUGCUGUGUAAAUCAGAGCCUGGGCAUACUUGAAAGGUUUAUUAAAGAGAAUUUAAUGAAGAGACUAUAGAAGUAUAGCAGGGUUAAUGGACUAAUAAACAACCAUGCAAUACCCAGGGACCGCCAACAGCAAAAGCAUUGCCACUCCUAUGCUGAAGGGGAAAGAGGAGGAAGUUGUUACUCCAACCCAGCAAGAACUGUGGCCAAGGAAGUGGAUGUCUGCCCCUCAGGAGCUGUGGCUAUUGAUUGAAGAUGAGCAGGAGGAAUAAAUACCCCAAACUCUCUUUCUUUCCUCUUUCUAACUCUGCCAGUGCAGAAAUUGGGGAACCCAAUUGGAAAGCCAAAAGCAAUGGGUCUCUGGAUGGGCAGUCAUGGACAUUAGCUGUAUGGGGCUCAAAACUGGGAGGGAGAGAAGGCUGGGGAAGAGAUUCAAAGGGGCACAUAGAGAAUAAUAAAGAAUGAUCACUUUGGAAUGUUCCAAAUUAUCAAUUAUGCUCUGCAAGGUGACCUGGAAUCAUAGGGUCUCCUGUGGACUGAAUAGUGUCUCCCCUAAAAUUCCUAUGUUGAUGCCCGAACCCCCAAGGUGAUUGUAUUCAGAGAAGGGACCUGUGGGGAGGUAAUUAGGGCUAAAUGAGUGGGGAGGUAAUUAGAGCUAGAUGGGGUCAUAAUCCAAUAGGAUUGUGUUCUUAAAGAAGGAGGAGUAGAGGAGAAGAAAGUUCCGUCUGUUUCCCUGAAAGAUCAAGGGUCCUUGCACCCCAGAGAAGAAAGACCCUGUGGGAACAGACACAGUAAGAAGGUUGCCAUCCACAAGCCAGGAAGAGAGGCCUUAUCAGAAAUCUGUCAUGUUGGCACUUGGAAUCCAGGGUUUUCAUCUCCAGAACUGUGAGAAAAUAAAUGUCUGUUUUGAAACCACCCAGUCUGUCAUAUUUUGUAGCCCAAGCAAACUAAUGUAGAAUCCUUGGAAGGCAAUGCCAAUUUAUGGCAGAAAGACCAUCUAUUUUUUUAACUGCACCAAUAAGGAUGACCUGACA
rnacentral:lncRNA from 10 species